rnacentral:rRNA from 1 species
UACAGAGGUCGCAAGCGUUGUUCGGAUUCAUUGGGCGUAAAGGGCGUGUAGGCGGCGCGCUAAGUCGGGUGUGAAAUUUCGGAGCUUAACUCCGAAACUGCAUUCGAUACUGGCGUGCUUGAGGACUGGAGAGGAGACUGGAAUUCAUGGUGUAGCAGUGAAAUGCGUAGAGAUCAUGAGGAAGACCAGUGGCGAAGGCGGGUCUCUGGACAGUUACUGACACUGAGACACGAAGGCCAGGGGAGCAAACGGG